AUUUAUAUAGUUUAAAAAAAACAUUACAUUUUCAAUGUAAAAUUAAAAUUUUAAAUUUUUUUAAAUA
rnacentral:tRNA from 1 species